rnacentral:tRNA from 3 species
GCCGGGAUGGCGGAAUUGGUAUACGCGUAUGCCUAAGGAGCAUAUGGUGUAAACCUUGGGGGUUCGAGUCCCCCUCUCGGCACCA